rnacentral:rRNA from 1 species
UACGUAGGGUGCGAGCGUUGCCCGGAUUUAUUGGGCGUAAAGGGCGCGUAGGCGGUCACGCACGUCCGUUGUGAAAUCGCUCGGCUCAACUGGGCGGGGUCAGCGGAUACGGCGUGGCUGGAGCAAGGCUAGGGGGCAAUGGAAUUCCCGGUGUAGUGGUGGAAUGCGUAGAUAUCGGGAGGAACACCAGUGGCGAAGGCGGUUGCCUGGAGCUUUGCUGACGCUGAUGCGC